UUUCACAUGCACAAAAUGAUUGUUUUUGAUUUGUAAAAAAAUUCUAACGUAUAUUUUAUGGAAAAUAGCUUUUGUAUGUUUCUGGAAGAUGCACCAUGUUACCUUGUUGACAACAUGACCGAGCAGCGCAGAUUACUGUGCGAUUGGAGAAAGGRCGCUCMUCCCUCACCGCUUUUUGCCCGYUCWAGUCACAGGCCAYAGACUGGUGCACUUAAUCAAACUCCCUCAAUGGUGGGAACUUCCCCACGCCCAAUGUUUACACCAAUCCCAAGGCUUUUGGAUCCGUGACGGGAAGUGUUUAAGUGUACACUUCGGGAGCAGGGUGUGGACAGUCAGGAGGCAACCUAGCUGUCAUCCGUCGGUCAAAGACAGGGAGUUUAGUAUUAUAUCAAUGAUUAAUCUACUUACGAAACGGAGAAGAACAAAACAGAACAAACAUGGCUCUCUAUGUGGGUUAGAACUUGUUCAACCUUUCCUAGUGUGCCGGUCGUCCCGUUGAGGGAAUUUUAAUAAGCUGCCUGUAACUUUUACCUGACAUUUCCUAGAAGAAAGCAUUAAAACAAGUGAGAUUGCUUUCUGUUCCCUUGGUAACCACGGUUUAGAGCUUAUUUUGACCAAUAGUUUUACCUUUUAACUACAAUGUUCUUUCAUAGGUACUCUCAUUAAGUGUAUGAGGCCACUAAAAUAAUAUUUGGAUGACUUUUGGAGGCAUAUUCAUUCAUGUUUAUUAUUAACAUGAAGUUCGCAAUAAUGUAAAAAAAAAAAAAAAAAACACUUUUCACUUUGUCAUAACAACAAGAAACAAUGCUUCGAAUUUUAUAAUGAGCCAGAGAAAGCUUUUUCAUAAACCACUACUUCAGUGGUUCUCAAACUUGGGGUUGGGACCCUGUGUGGGGUCCCCUGAGAAAAUCUGUAAUCGUAGGAAAAACUUUUGGGGACCCCUGCCCUACUUGUACAAUUCUCACAUUAGUCUUCGGGUCUUUCUGUUGRCGUUGCUUUCACUUCAUAUCACAAUGUUUUUUUGUUUUCAGUUAUUGUUUGUAUGAUUUGUCAAGCAUUCAGUUYUGCCAUUGUUUGCUAAUUCUGUUUUAAUUUAGUGUUUCCUUUCUGUUGAAUUCUCUUGCUGUUUACUUCACUUUUUUCCUUUUGCACACACUUGUCUUUUUCCCCUUUCUGUACUUUCCUACGUUCUGUCUCCAUCGCUCCCUAUUCCUGUUUCCCUCCCUCUUUCUUCCACUAUCUCUCGUUUUCUCUGUCCUGCUCUUGUUUGUCCUCUAUCUCCCAUUCCCUUGCUCUUCCUAUCCUCUCUUACCUUCCCUGCUCCAUCGCCGUGGUAGCCAACGAGGCCUAGUUGCCAGGGGAAACCUCUACAGUCGCUACAUCAACACCCGGGGCUUUGGGCUGUUGUUGGAGACCCAGCAGAAUACCUUCAAACUGCCAGGUUUGACACCAGUAUUGAGAGAGAGAGAGACUGAUACAGGGGGACAGACAGACCCACUGGGACACACAGACAGGCCCCUUCCACCUCUGUCCCUAUCCAGGAAGGAGUCGCUCUGCUCCCAGACCACCAUGAUGACCACCAGAGAACCAGACAGACAGGCUGAGAUGGAGACCAGGGUGCUGGAGAAGGGGCUCCGUAUGGGGGUAGGGGGAGAGCCCUGGCCUGGGAGGGCUGGAGAGAAAGGAGGUGGGCCCCUGGAGGUGGUUGAGAAGGACAGGGGGAGAGGAGGGGGGGAGAGAGCUGCUGUAACAGCUCAGUGGGUCAGGCAGAAGAAGGAAUAUAGGAACACCAGACCCUGGUGACACACAUGGAACACAGACGGACUGACAAGAAGCAGGAGAUAGAAGACGGGCUGACUGAUAGACAGAUGAAUAAGAAGCAGGAGAUGGAAGACUGACUGACAGACUGACGGAUAGAUACGAAGCAGGAGAUAGAAGACGGGCUGACAGACUGACAGAUAGAUAAGAGGCAGGAGAUAGAAGACGGGCUGACAGACUGACAGAUAGAUAAGAGGCAGGAGAUAGAAGACGGGCUGACUGAUAGACAGAUGAACAAGAAGCAGGAGAUAGAAGACUGACUGACUGAUAGACAGAUGAAUAAGAAGCAGGAGAUAGAAGACUGACUGACUGGCAGACGGAUGGAUAAGAGGCAGGAAGUAGAGAAGAGAAAGAGACUGACUGACUGAUUUAAUAGAGAUUUACAGAAGUGGACUGUGAGCUAGAGUAGAGAUAGAAGGGAAGACAGCCACAGAUGGAUACGGACGAUGAGAAUAGAGAGAGAGAGAAGGGAAGACAGCCGCAGAUGGAUACGGACGAUGAGAGUAGAGAGAGGGAAAGGAAGACAGCCGCAGAUGGAUACGGAUGAUGAGAGUAGAGAGAUAGAAGGGAAGACAGCCACAGAUGGAUACGGACAUGAGAGUAG